GGCUGGUCCCAGUGCAGUGGUGUUUACAACUAAUUGAUCACAACCAGUUACAGAUUUCUUUGUUCCAUCUCCACACCCACUGCUUCGCUUGACUAGCCUUAA
rnacentral:Y_RNA from 1 species